GCGAUUAUGGUUUAAUGGUAAAACGCUCGUCUUCCAAACGGGGUAUGUGAGUUCGAGUCUCACUAAUCGUA
rnacentral:tRNA from 1 species